GCGCCUGUAGCUCAGUUGGAUAGAGCAACUGCCUUCUAAGCAGUGGGGCGGGGGUUCGAAUCCCUCCAGGCGCGCCA
rnacentral:tRNA from 1 species